rnacentral:rRNA from 1 species
GAACGCUGGCGGCAGGCCUAACACAUGCAAGUCGAGCGGUAACAUUUCUAGCUUGCUAGAAGAUGACGGGCGGCGGACGGGUGAGUAACGCGUAGAAAUCUACCUAGUAGUGGGGGAUAGCCCAGAGAAAUUUGGAUUAAUACCGCAUACGCCCUACGGGGGAAAGCGGGGGAUCUUCGGACCUCGUGCUAUUAGAUGAGUCUGCGUCGGAUUAGCUUGUUGGUGAGGUAAUGGCUCACCAAGGCGACGAUCCGUAGCUGGUCUGAGAGGAUGACCAGCCACACUGGAACUGAGACACGGUCCAGACUCCUACGGGAGGCGGCAGUGGGGAAUAUUGCACAAUGGGCGCAAGCCUGAUGCAGCCAUGCCGCGUGUGUGAAGAAGGCCUUAGGGUUGUAAAGCACUUUCAGCAGUGAGGAAAGGGGUGUCGUUAAUAGCGCCAUCCUGUGACGUUAACUGCAGAAGAAGGACCGGCUAACUCCGUG